rnacentral:rRNA from 1 species
UUUGUGGUCAAGCUAUUAAGGGCGCAUGGGGGAUGUCUCGGUAUUAGAAGGCGAUGAAGGGCGUGGAAGUCUGCGAUAAGCCUGGGGGAGUUGACAAACGAGCGUUGAUCCCAGGAUUCCCGAAUGUUCCUACGCUGAAUCCAUAGGCGUGUGGAGGCAAACCCGGUGAACUGAAACAUCUAAGUAGCCGGUGGAAAAGAAAGAAAAUCGAUUCCCUCAGUAGCGGCGAGCGAACGGGGACCAGCCCAAACCGCGGGGGUUUUCCUCUGCGGGGUUGUAGGGCCUUCCAAAUGGGAGUUACCAAGUAGCAUGCUAGCAGAACGGCUUGGAAUAGCCGGCCAUAGAGGGUGACAGCCCCGUAAGCGAAAGCAUCGCUGCCUCCCGGAGGGUACCUGAGUAGGUCGGGGCACGUGAAACCCCGACUGAAUCUACGGGGACCAUCCCGUAAGGCUAAAUACUCUCUAAUGACCGAUAGUGAACUAAGUAGGGUGACUGAAAGAUGAGAAGAACCCCUGCUAGGGGAGGAAUGUGAACCUGAAACCAUGUGCCUACAAGCGGUCGGAGCACGGUGGCCUUCGGGCCUGUGUGACGGCGUGCCUUUUGCAUAAUGAUCCGGCGAGUUACCGUCGUUGGCUUGGUUAAGACCUUCCGGGUCGGAGCCAUAGGGAAACCGAGUCUGAAUAGGGCGAUUUUGUCAGCGGUGGUAGACGCGAAACUGCGUGAUCUACUCAUGGGCAGGGUGAAGCGCGGGUUAUACUGCGUGGAGGCCCGAACCCACUUGGGUUGAAAACCGAGGGGAUGACCUGUGAGGAGGAGUGAAAGUCUAAUCAAACGCAGAGAUAGCUCGUUCUCUCCGAAAUAGCUUUAGGGCUAGCCUCGAGCCACUACGUCCCGGGGGUAGAGAUACUGAAUUGGAUGGGGGCCCUUCCAGGGUACCCCACUGAACCAAACUCCGAAUACCGGGACGAUUAUCUCGGGAGUCAGUCCGCGGGGGAUAAGCUCCGUGGUCGAGAGGGAAACAACCCAGACCGUCGGCUAAGGUCCCUAAGUCAUGCUCAGUCACAAAGGAAGUUAGAAUGCUGAGACAGCCAGGAUGUUGGCUUAGAAGCAGCCACCAUUUAAAAAGUGCGUAACAGCUUACUGGUCGAGCAUUCUUGCGCCGAUAAUGAACGGGAGUAAGCAUGACACCGAAGCCGCGGGUGCAGUGAUUCUUCGGAUGAACUGCGCGGUAGGAGAGCGCCGUACGUCAGAUACAAGCCGUACCGAAAGGAGCGGUGUCGGGGCGUACGGGUGAUUAUGCCGGAAUGAGUAACGAUAAAGCAGGUGAGAAUCCUGCUCGCCGAAAGCCUAAGGUUUCCUGGGGAAGGUAAAUCCGCCCAGGGUUAGCCGGUCCCUUAGUCGAGGCCGAAAGGCGUAGACGAUGGAUAGCAGGUUAAUAUUCCUGCGCCGCUUGCGUGGAGCGAUGGAGGGACGGCGUCCGGAUAGCAAUCAGACGGAUAGAAAUGUCUGUAGGGUGCACUGAGAUGGCGGGAUUGGAAAAUCCGCCCGCUAUAGUCAAGGUGCAAACUCGAGCGACUUGUUCGCGAAGUUGUUGGAAGGACGUCCAAGAAAAGCUUCUAAGCGUUGAAGCGCAGCGACCGUACUAAAACUGACACAGGUAGGCGAGAUGAGAAGUCUAAGGCGCUCGGGAGAACGGUGGUUAAGGAACUCUGCAAAAUGGCCCCGUAAGUUCGCGAUAAGGGGCGCCUCCGCGGGUGAAUAGCCCGGGGGGGCCACAGAAAAUCGGCUCCAGCGACUGUUUAUCAAAAACACAGGACUCUGCUAACUCGCAAGAGGAUGUAUAGAGUCUGACGCCUGCCCGGUGCCGGUAGGUUAAGGAAGAGGGUUAGCUCUUCGGAGCGAAGCUCGCAACCGAAGCCCCGGUAAACGGCGGCCGUAACUAUGACGGUCCUAAGGUAGCGAAAUUCCUUGUCGGGUAAGUUCCGACCUGCAUGAAUGGCGUAACGACUGGAAUACUGUCUCAACCACCGACCCGGUGAAAUUGUAGUCGUGGUGAAGAUGCCACGUAC